rnacentral:rRNA from 1 species
AUGAACGCUAGCGACAGGCCUAACACAUGCAAGUCGAGGGGCAGCGAAGAGGUAGCAAUACCUUUGUCGGCGACCGGCGCACGGGUGAGUAACACGUAUGCAAUCCACCUGUAACAGGGGGAUAACCCGGAGAAAUCCGGACUAAUACCCCAUAAUAUGGACACUCCGCAUGGAGAGUUCAUUAAAGAGAGCAAUUUUGGUUACAGACGAGCAUGCGCUCCAUUAGCCAGUUGGCGGGGUAACGGCCCACCAAGGCGACGAUGGAUAGGGGUUCUGAGAGGAAGGUCCCCCACAUUGGAACUGAGACACGGUCCAAACUCCUACGGGAGGCAGCAGUGAGGAAUAUUGGUCAAUGGUCGGCAGACUGAACCAGCCAAGUCGCGUGAGGGAAGACGGCCCUACGGGUUGUAAACCUCUUUUGUCGGAGAGUAAAGUACGCUACGUGUAGUGUAUUGCAAGUAUCCGAAGAAAAAGCAUCGGCUAACUCCGUGCCAGCAGCCGCGGUAAUACGGAGGAUGCAAGCGUUAUCCGGAUUUAUUGGGUUUAAAGGGUGCGUAGGCGGCACGCCAAGUCAGCGGUGAAAUUUCCGGGCUCAACCCGGAAUGUGCCGUUGAAACUAGCGAGCUAGAGUGCACAAGAGGCAGGCGGAAUGCGUGGUGUAGCGGUGAAAUGCAUAGAUAUCACGCAGAACCCCGAUUGCGAAGGCAGCCUGCUAGGGUGCGACAGACGCUGAGGCACGAAAGCGUGGGUAUCGAACAGGAUUAGAUACCCUGGUAGUCCACGCCGUAAACGAUGAAUACUAGGUGUCGGGGAGCAUUGCUCUUCGGUGCCGCAGCAAACGCAAUAAGUAUUCCACCUGGGGAGUACGCCGGCAACGGUGAAACUCAAAGGAAUUGACGGGGGCCCGCACAAGCAGUGGAGUAUGUGGUUUAAUUCGAAGCAACGCGAAGAACCUUACCAAGUCUUGACAUCCCUCUGACCGACUCUUAACCGAGUCUUUCCUUCGGGACAGGGGAGACAGGUGGUGCAUGGUUGUCGUCAGCUCGUGCCGUGAGGUGUCGGCUUAAGUGCCAUAACGAGCGCAACCCCUAUCGACAGUUACUAACGGGUGAAGCCGAGGACUCUGUCGAGACUGCCGGCGCAAGCCGCGAGGAAGGUGGGGAUGACGUCAAAUCAGCACGGCCCUUACGUCCGGGGCGACACACGUGUUACAAUGGCAGGUACAGAAGGCAGCCAGUCAGCAAUGACGCGCGAAUCCCGAAAACCUGUCUCAGUUCGGAUUGGAGUCUGCAACCCGACUCCAUGAAGCUGGAUUCGCUAGUAAUCGCGCAUCAGCCAUGGCGCGGUGAAUACGUUCCCGGGCCUUGUACACACCGCCCGUCAAGCCAUGGAAGCCGGGAGUACCUGAAGCAUGCAACCGCAAGGAGCGUACGAAGGUAAUACCGGUAACUGGGGCU